UGGGGAAUAUUGGACAAUGGGGGCAACCCUGAUCCAGCGACGCCGCGUGGGUGAAGAAGGCCUGCGGGUUGUAAAGCCCUUUCGGUUGGGAAGAAAAGCUGCGACCUAACACGUCGCGGCCUUGACGUAACCAACUAAAGAAGCACCGGCUAACUCUGUGCCAGCAGCCGCGGUAAUACAGAGGGUGCGAGCGUUAAUCGGAAUUACUGGGCGUAAAGCGCGCGUAGGCGGCUUUGUAAGUCGGUUGUGAAAUCCCCGGGCUUAACCUGGGAACUGCAUCCGAGACUGCAUAGCUAGAGUAUGGGAGAGGGAAGUGGAAUUUCAGGUGUAGCGGUGAAAUGCGUAGAUAUCUGAAGGAACAUCAGUGGCGAAAGCGACUUCCUGGACCAAUACUGACGCUCAUGUGCGAAAGCGUGGGGAGCAAACAGG
rnacentral:rRNA from 1 species